UUACAAUACCUGGCAGAGGAGAUACCAUGAUCACAAAGGUGGUUUUCCCAGAGUGAGGCUUAUCCAUUGCACUCCAGAUGUGCUGACUCUUGUGAUUUCCUCAAAUGGGAAAACUUGACUGCAUAAUUGAUAGUAAUGAGGGGACUGUGCUUGCACUUUUCCUUA
rnacentral:snRNA from 1 species